AGAGGUCUCAACCGUUGUUCGGAUUCAUUGGGCGUAAAGGGUGCGUAGGCGGUCGCGCAAGUCGGAUGUGAAAUCUCAGGGCUCAACCCUGAAACUGCAUUCGAUACUGCGUGGCUAGAGUGCUGGAGAGGAGACUGGAAUUUACGGUGUAGCAGUGAAAUGCGUAGAUAUCGUAAGGAAGACCAGUGGCGAAGGCGAGUCUCUGGACAGCAACUGACGCUGAGGCACGAAGGCCAGGGGAGCAAACGGGAUUAGAUACCCCGGUAGUCCUGGCAGUAAACGGUGCACGUUUGGUGUAGGCGGAUUCGACCCCGCCUGUGCCGGAGCUAACGCGUUAAACGUGCCGCCUGGGAAGUACGGUCGCAAGAUUA
rnacentral:rRNA from 1 species